ensembl:lncRNA
GGUCCCACACUGUCUCACGUAAAUCCUCUAUUUCUUCAUCCCUGUCCACAUCUAACUGACCACUAUUAAUAGUCAAAACUGGCAAUUGAUACUAGUAGUAGGCAAUGAUGGGUAAAGAGUGGUGUUAAGUGUCAGUGUCUGAUUUAAAUCUUCUAAUGGAGGCUUCUCAACAUUAGGCACUCGUGUAACCCCUUUAGAUCUGCAAUUGUGCACCGCUGCACAUGCCACAGCCACAACAUGUAUCCUUCGACGCCUAUCUUCUAGCUCCUUACCCUGUUUUUGCCAUGAUUUCCCUGUUAUAAACCCUAAUUUUGGAUUAUCAAGAUGAUCCUGUAAUAUAGUAUGAAUUUCUGACUCCCACUUACACAAUGCUUCAGUUAAGUUAACCUUCACCUCUGGAGAGGGAAGAAUCUUCUGCUUUUGAGCUUCCUUCCACAACUUUUUUAUUGCAUCCAAUUCUCUUUCCCUGUCAUCUUCUUUCAUGCCACUCACCACCUGAUCAAGAGUCCACUUCCACUGUUCUUCCACAGACCGAGGAUAGGGAGAACAUUCUCCCUGAUCCCUACACGCUUUUCCACAAUCCAGUUCCAUCUUUAACUAUGCUCCCAAGUGAGAUUGAAUGUGAAUGACUCCAACGGUCAACUCAAUGCCUCAGUGAAACAAGCUUCUAGAUCAAACGUCUUUGAUCCGGUUCCACUCUGGGGGUUAAUUCCCAAGGACAAAGAGCCUUUUAAUUCACGUUCACUCUGGCACUUUUCCACCCCACACAAAAACACAAAUCUCGGGCGUCGGGAGUGUCCGUCCCGUCAACUACGCUCCGAGUCCCAACACAAAUCUUUAUGAUAUACAGUGCACUGCAUACAGCAAUACAGCACUGUACUAGCUCCGGUUUACUCUAACCGUUACAGCACUGUACUAGUUACGGUUUACUCUAACCGUCUAUUCCCUGUUUUUAUCAACAGUACUUCCCUGUGUAUUUCAACAGUACUUCCCUGUGUUUUACAACAACAGUACUUCCGGACUCUAACCGUAAUUCCCUGUAUUUUCAACAGUACUUCCGGACUCUAACCGUAAUUCCCUGUAUUUUUCAACAGUACUUCCCUGUGUAUUUCAACAGUACUUCCCUGUUUUUUCAAACAGUACUUCCCUGUUUUUUCAAACAGUACUUCCCUGCUUUUUCAAACAGUACUUCCGGACUCUAACCGUAAUUCCUGCAGUCAAUAUUUUUAUAUUUGUAUCUGGAAUUUAUAACUAGGACACUUCAAUUGACAGUGACGACAAAUUUUUGGAAAUAGCCAAUCUGCAGAGCUUGAUUAAACAGGUGUCUGCUUACCUUUUUAUUAGGGAUCCCUUGUCGUCAGUUGUCCUCCGAAGUGACCGUUGUUGAAUUCUUUGCUUCAGAUGACUUCUCUCUUCAUCACGUCGGGGUCACCAAAUUGUUGGAUCGCGAUACCUCCUGUAUGUAGCUGCCGAUCCGCGUGUUCGUUGAAUGAAGACUUCGAGAAGUAAAGUACCAAUUUCAAAAUGUAUUUAACAAUAGAAUCAAUUCCAGACACAAAUAUUACAGAGCUCCGGGCCAGUUCAUAACCCUAGCAACAACAAAGUUAAUUGUCAGGGCACGAAGUCUGACAACCUAACUAUCCCUUGGCCCAGUCCUUUAUAGUCACACACAUGCAAAUUCACAAUGUCCAUGCAAUCCAAUCCAGUUCCUCUGCUGGGAUGAUCUCGUCCUCUUCUUCCAGCCUCCUUUGGUGUUGAUACAGUCCUUCUUUUCCAUUGCUUUCCCAGGUGGCCAGAUCCCAUUCUUCAUGCAAAUGUGAUCAUCAUCAACCCCCCUGAUGUCGCAUUUACAAUGAGUGUUUGACACCUCCUGCCUGACUGGCUCCUGAGAUAACAAUAGAACAAACAACAAUCCUGCAAAUGGAAUGUCUCUGUUUUUAUUACAUUUACCAAUGAGUCUACCUUGCCUAACUUCUAAGAGAAGACAGAAACAUAUGGUGAAACACAUAACAAGAUAAAGACAAUUCUCAACAAGAGACUGGAACAUAUGAUUGGGAUCAAAGGGACAGCUCUAGACUGAUUUAGAUCGUAUUUAUCAGAUAGAUACCAGUUUGCUCAUGUCGAUUGCGUUGCCUCUUCAUACAGUAGGGUUAACCAUGGAGUUCCACAAGGUUCUGUACUUGGACCAAUCCCUUUCACCUUGUACAUGCUUCCCUUAGGAAAUAUUAUUAAGCAGCAUGGAAUAAAUUUUCAUUAUGCUGAUGACACUCAGCUUUAUUUAUCCAUGAAACCAGAGGAGACAGAGAAGUUAGUGAAG